UCAGGUUGGACUCAAAGCAUCUUCACCCAAUUGUAUGAAAGUGACCCAAUUAGGUGCAGCCUCUAUCUCACGUUGGUCUUCUUUUCCUUUGAUUUUUAUGAUCAGGCUUUCUAAAGCUUGUUUCAUCCUCUUAGUCUUGGCCCUAGUCAUAGGACCUUCAAUUCCAUGCAAAGUAUCUUUAGAUGGGCUGGUUGCGUCUCUAUCAUUGGUU
rnacentral:lncRNA from 1 species